GUUCUUUCUUGGAUUGCUUACUUGAGAGGAAGUCAGUCACCAGCUAUGGCAUGAAGAUACUCAGGCAGCCUGUCUCACCUGGGAGGAACUGAAGUCUCCUGCCUGCCAGCAACAACUUGAUGGCCAUAACAGAAAUAAUAAGAAUUGGAUUAUCAAGGAAAUGCAAAUCAAAACCAGAACGAAAUAUUACCUCAUCUUUGUAAGACUGUUGUGAAAAGGACUGCAGACAAUAAGUGCUGGUGAGGAAGAGGAGGAAAGGGGCCCUUCGCACACUGUUGGUGAAAUGUAAAUUAGCACAUGAUGGCAACAAUGGAAGCACCUCCAAAAAUUAAAAAUAGAACUGCCAUAUGAUCCAGCAAUCCCACUGAGGGUUAUAUAUCCAAAAGAAUGUGGAAGAGACACCGGCUCUCCCAUGUUCAUUGCAGCACCACUCACAACAGCCAAGAAAUGGAAAUAACCUGUGUCUAUCAACUGGUCUAUGGAUUGAAACACAGAAAACAUGCAGGUCUUUCCCACUGGCUGCCAAGUCACUUCACAGAAGACCAUACCCUGCGGUCGCUGAUGAGGCAGGAGACUUACAUCCCAGCCAGAACUACACAGGCCCAGGCAACUUGGAGUUCAGCACUGCCAGGUGGUUGCUCAAGGGGAAGAGAAAUUAAAUGCUCCUAAAGAAAAUAUCUGAUAUGGUCAUAUUAAAAAAAGAACUUUCAUCUUUGUCAUCAGAGUUUGGAAAAU